rnacentral:rRNA from 1 species
CUCGGAGUUGUGGAGGGUGUCCAACUCUUUUUUUGUUUGUUUGUUUGUUUUUGCGGGUGGAGGGUGUCCAACUCCACGGCGAGGGAGCGCUGUAGACAGCACCUCCUUGGACGUGGUGAUGAAGAAGGCCAUGCCAGGGCUGCUCAGGUCGAUGUACUGCCCGAAGAUGGCAAGGACGAAGGUCGUGUAGAAGGAGCGCGCGGCCCGGAACGGGUGGAAGGCGUGCCCUUUCUGCUGGAUGGUGCCGUUGGUCAGCAUGAGGAGGCCGUUGGGCGUGACCUUGGCCACACCGUCGAGAGUGAGGUUCGUGCCGGCAAAGCCAUUGUAGGCGAACUGCCAACCGUCGUCGCUGCCGACCGUGGCCGCGAGACCGCGAUCGGCAGCCACAAGGAGAAGGAGCAGAGUGACCAAGUGGUGGAAAAGCUCGAGAGGCAUGGUUUGUGCGUCAAUUUGCUCGGCGUCUUUGGUAAGUAGUACUACUUGAUUGGUUCGUGUCUGGAUUGUAAACC